GGUUCGAAUCGGGGACAUCAAGGUUAUUUGACAUAUACACAAAUGAACAACUCUGAAUAUAGAAAAGCUUUACAAAUGAACAUCUCUAAUUAUGGACAAGAAAAUUCGGAAAUCUCUCAAUUUGGACAACUCUCAUUGAAAAAAACAAAAAAAAAA